rnacentral:rRNA from 1 species
AUUGAACGCUGGCGGCAGGCCUAACACAUGCAAGUCGAGCGGAUGAAGGGAGCUUGCUCCUGUAUUCAGCGGCGGACGGGUGAGUAAUGCCUAGGAAUCUGCCUGGUCGUGGGGGAUAACGUCCGGAAACGGGCGCUAAUACCGCAUACGUCCUGAGGGAGAAAGUGGGGGAUCUUCGGACCUCACGCUAUCAGAUGAGCCUAGGUCGGAUUAGCUAGUUGGUGGGGUAAAGGCCUACCAAGGCGACGAUCCGUAACUGGUCUGAGAGGAUGAUCAGUCACACUGGAACUGAGACACGGUCCAGACUCCUACGGGAGGCAGCAGUGGGGAAUAUUGAACAAUGGGCGAAAGCCUGAUCCAGCCAUGCCGCGUGUGUGAAGAAGGUCUUCGGAUUGUAAAGCACUUUAAGUUGGGAGGAAGGGCAGUAAGUUAAUACCUUGCUGUUUUGACGUUACCAACAGAAUAAGCACCGGCUAACUUCGUG